rnacentral:rRNA from 1 species
CAGCCCUUGACAUCCCGGUCGCGGAGAGCAGAGACGCACUCCUUCAGUUCGGCUGGACCGGAGACAGGUGCUGCAUGGCUGUCGUCAGCUCGUGUCGUGAGAUGUUGGGUUAAGUCCCGCAACGAGCGCAACCCUCGCCCUUAGUUGCCAUCAUUCAGUUGGGCACUCUAAGGGGACUGCCGGUGAUAAGCCGGAGGAAGGUGGGGAUGACGUCAAGUCCUCAUGGCCCUUACGGGCUGGGCUACACACGUGCUACAAUGGCGGUGACAGAGGGAUGCAAAGGGGCGACCCUUCGCAAAUCUCAAAAAGCCGUCUCAGUUCGGAUUGGGGUCUGCAACUCGACCCCAUGAAGUUGGAAUCGCUAGUAAUCGCAGAUCAGCACGCUGCGGUGAAUACGUUCCC